UCGAUUCCCGGAUGGCGCA
rnacentral:snRNA from 1 species